UUAGUAGAAGGCAGGGUAAA
rnacentral:misc_RNA from 1 species